AGCAGCCGCGGUAAUUCCAGCUCCAAUAGCGUAUAUUAAAGUUGUUGCAGUUAAAAAGCUCGUAGUUGAAUUUCGGGGUUAGUAGGUUGGUCAUGCCUCUGGUAUGUACUGGUCUCACUGAUUCCUCCUUCCUUAUGAACCGUAAUGCCAUUAAUUUGGUGUUGCGGGAAAUUUGGACUGUUACUUUGAAAAAAUUAGAGUGUUUAAAGCAAGCUAACGCUUGAAUACAUUAGCAUGGAAUAAUGAAAUAGGACGUUCGAUCUUAUUUUGUUGGUUUCUAGGAUUGACGUAAUGAUUAAUAGGGAUAGUUGGGGGCAUUAGUAUUCAAUUGUCAGAGGUGAAAUUCUUGGAUUUAUUGAAGACUAACUACUGCGAAAGCAUUUGCCAAGGAUGUUUUCAUUAAUCAAGAACGAAAGUUAGGGGAUCGAAGACGAUCAGAUACCGUCGUAGUCUUAACCAUAAACUAUGCCGACUAGGGAUCGGAUGAUGUUAAUUUUUUAAUGACUCAUUCGGCGCCUUA
rnacentral:sRNA from 1 species